rnacentral:lncRNA from 8 species
GCUAUCUGGCUAAGCCUACAAGCUACCUAAAUCAGGUAGCUUGUAGGCUUAGCCAGAUAGCUAGCCACUCAAGCUGGACAUAAGAAUGAUGCAGUUUAGCUUGAGUCGCCUAGACGUUUUUAUGAGCAAUGACGAAGCUUUUUAAAGUAGUCAUGCUUUCAUACAACAUGCAGGUUAUCUUAUAAUAUCCAAUUAUGAUUGCAAAAUGGAUAACAUUGCUAGGCUAGCUACCUCAACUUCCUGGCUGUUCGAUCUUAACGUUCACACACUGCUCAUGUGAUGCUGCUGUUACAUGACCACCGUCUUUUCAGAUAUGUAUUUUCGACAAUACCGAUAUAUAAUAAAUAAACAAAACAAAAACUACUAUUUUGAACAAGACAAUUGGUAAAUGUGUUUGACAAUUGUGUUGUUACAAAAGAGUUAGAAUAAUUGUCUUUUACAUGUUGAAGUCACAUCGCCAGAUUCGUGUAUAUCUCUGUGUCCCAGACUUUCCAAUAGGUGGAGCUGUUGUCUCUCCUACAUGCUGGAGUUCACCAGAGUUCAAAUUUAUAUGAAUUCCUUCAGUUUAGCUUCUUUCUUUUACGUGUAAGUAAUUUGUUGAUGCUGGAUAUCCAAUGAUUUCAUCAGACAUUUCUGCAUGGUUAGAUACUUCCAUGGUUCAAGAGAUCAUGGGAAAAGGGCAACAGCUGGAGGAAACCUGAAGUUUGUCCCGACCCUCCCUGCUCCUCUUACGGGACUUGGACAGCUGGGAGCAGAGGUCCUGCUGGUUCUCUCCGUGUGGCUCUGGUAGGAGUGGUGGCUGUGAGGCUCACGGCUCUGGUGGCUGUGUCUCUCGCCAGAGAAGCCAAGCCGCAUCACCUCGCUCCCCCUAUGCCUCUCAACAUGGCUGGACCUGGAGCAGCAGCUGUAGGGGUCAGCGCGCCUCUCCUUUCUCCAGAUCCGGGUGUGGCCAGGUCCGCUGCUUCUCUCUCUGGAGGAAGAGGAGGAGGCAGAAAGGGGGACACUGACCAUUUGAGGGGCCUCCAUGUUGGGCUCCCACACGU